UACGUAGGGUGCAAGCGUUGUCCGGAAUUAUUGGGCGUAAAGAGCUCGUAGGCGGUCUGUCGCGUCUGCUGUGAAAACUCAGGGCUUAACCCUGAGCUUGCAGUGGGUACGGGCAGACUAGAGUGCGGUAGGGGAGACUGGAAUUCCUGGUGUAGCGGUGAAAUGCGCAGAUAUCAGGAGGAACACCGGUGGCGAAGGCGGGUCUCUGGGCCGAAACUGACGCUGAGGAGCGAAAGCGUGGGGAGCAAACAGG
rnacentral:rRNA from 1 species